UGUCGCUCUAUCUUCUUUGGGUCACACUGCCAAGAAAAGCUUCUAGUGAGAAAGUAACUGCCCGUACCGCAAACCGACACAGGUAGUUGAGGAGAGAAUCCUAAGGUGUGCGAGAGAACUCUCGUUAAGGAACUCGGCAAAAUGACCCCGUAACUUCGGGAGAAGGGGUGCUGACCGCAAGGUCAGCCGCAGUGAAUAGGCCCAAGCGACUGUUUAUCAAAAACACAGGUCUCUGCAAAAUCGAAAGAUGACGUAUAGGGGCUGACGCCUGCCCGGUGCUGGAAGGUUAAGAGGAGAGGUUAGCGCAAGCGAAGCUUUGAAUUGAAGCCCCAGUAAACGGCGGCCGUAACUAUAACGGUCCUAAGGUAGCGAAAUUCCUUGUCGGGUAAGUUCCGACCCGCACGAAAGGCGUAACGAUUUGGGCACUGUCUCAACGAGAGACUCGGUGAAAUUAUAGUACCAGUGAAGAUGCUGGUUACCCGCGACAGGACGGAAAGACCCCAUGGAGCUUUACUGCAGUUUGAUAUUGCGUGUUUGUAUCACAUGUACAGGAUAGGUAGGAGCCGAAGAUACCGGGACGCCAGUCUCGGAGGAGGCAACGGUGGGAUACUACCCUUGCGAUAUGACCACUCUAACCCGCUGCUCUUAGCGAGCAGGGAGACAGUGUCAGACGGGCAGUUUGACUGGGGCGGUCGCCUCCAAAAAUGUAACGGAGGCGCCCAAAGGUUCCCUCAGAAUGGUUGGAAGUCAUUCGUAGAGUGUAAAGGCAGAAGGGGGCUUGACUGCGAGACCUACAAGUCGAGCAGGGACGAAAGUCGGGCUUAGUGAUCCGGUGGUUCCGCAUGGAAGGGCCAUCGCUCAACGGAUAAAAGCUACCCUGGGGAUAACAGGCUUAUCUCCCCCAAGAGUUCACAUCGACGGGGAGGUUUGGCACCUCGAUGUCGGCUCAUCGCAUCCUGGGGCUGUAGUCGGUCCCAAGGGUUGGGCUGUUCGCCCAUUAAAGCGGUACGCGAGCUGGGUUCAGAACGUCGUGAGACAGUUCGGUCCCUAUCCGUCGCGGGCGUUGGAAAUUUGAGAGGAGCUGUCCUUAGUACGAGAGGACCGGGAUGGACACACCGCUGGUGUACCAGUUGUUCUGCCAAGAGCAUCGCUGGGUAGCUAUGUGUGGACGGGAUAAACGCUGAAAGCAUCUAAGCGUGAAGCCCCCCUCAAGAUGAGAUUUCCCAUCACUUUAAGUGAGUAAGACCCCUGAGAGAUGAUCAGGUAGAUAGGUUGGGAGUGGAAGUACAGCGAUGUAUGGAGCGGACCAAUACUAAUCGGUCGAGGACUUAACC
rnacentral:rRNA from 1 species